AGCAGUCGCCACGGGAAUACGUAGGGUGCAAGCGUUAAUCGGAAUUACUGGGCGUAAAGCGUGCGCAGGCGGUUAUAUAAGACAGAUGUGAAAUCCCCGGGCUCAACCUGGGAACUGCAUUUGUGACUGUAUAGCUAGAGUACGGCAGAGGGGGAUGGAAUUCCGCGUGUAGCAGUGAAAUGCGUAGAUAUGCGGAGGAACACCGAUGGCGAAGGCAAUCCCCUGGGCCUGUACUGACGCUCAUGCACGAAAGCGUGGGGAGCAAACAGGAUUAGAUACCCGCGUAGUCCCUGUCUCUUAUAC
rnacentral:rRNA from 1 species